AAUCGCCCCUAAAAUAGAACAUUUAAAUUUGUGUUUAGUUAACAAAAUUUAAGGUCUAACUCUUGGGCUGGCGUUAUGUUAGAUAAGGGGGGAUACAGACCUAAAAGACAAUUUCUUCAUGGAGCUCCCAGUUAAAUGGGUAAAACGGCCAUAUGAACAACUCCUAUACAAACUAGUAAGUGCUGUUAUAACUGGAAAACUAGACCACCUCCCACCUUCAUCCCAUCACUGACCACUCUGAACAGACACUAGAGAGUCAUUUACCACGCACUAUUCAUAAUAGCCGAGAUGUGGAAACAAUCCAAGUGACCAUCAACUGAUGAUUAGAUAAAGAAGAUGUGGUAUGUAUAUACAAUGGAAUGCUACUCAGCCAGAAAAAAGACAAAAUCAUCCCAUUUGCAACAACAUGGAUGGACCUUGAGGGAAUUAUGCUGAGUGAAAUAAGACAGACUGAGAAAGACAAACACCAUAUGGUUUCGCUCAUAUGUGGAGCAUAAACAAACACAUGGACAAAGAAAACAGUUCAGUGGCUACCAGGCAAAGUUUGGCAGCUUUGGUGUGGAAGCUGAGAAAGAGACGGUGAGAUGGCUGGUUACCCAAUGCGGAGAUCUGUGAUGUCUUUAUGUGAUUCUGGCCCCGUUGGAUGAAAAGUACUGUUAAAAAAGGGGAAGCAUGGAAGAAAAUUGGCAGAAGGACUUGUUUUGAUGAGUAGGGAGGUGAAGAAAAGCCUGGAAGUGCAGAGAGCUUCUCAUUGGUUGUUCAUUAUGGGGGGACAUAGAGAACAGGUCAGGAGGGCUCAGCUGCUGAAGAUCCUGCUUCCAAAAUAAGGGAAAUCAUCAGAGUCCAGAGCUCAGCAGAUGAUGGACACUUGGAGACAAAUGAAGUCAGGUGAAAUCUCUUGGAAGAGAUAAUGUCUAAGUACAAACAUCCCUCCUCACUCAAGAAAGCCUACUCUUAUAGACAAAGAGCUAUUGGUCAGAAAGAGAAGUGAACUGGGCAGAGCAUUUUUAACCAAAGGCUGAAUUCUUCCUGCAACCUAAGUCCCAAACUCCGGACACAACUGCUCUGAUUCCUGAGGUUCUCGUGGAGCUGGAAAGCAGAUAAAUGGAAGAGGUGGUCCAGCAUUUCAACUGAACAUGGACAUUUGGAUGCUAUAUGUUUAAUAUCUAGUGACAUAAAUCAACGUGCAGGUUUCAGUGUAUCACACUUUCCAGCUUCUAGGCAAAGAUCUAUAAUACCAAAUAUUCCACCUUCCACCUACCAGGUGAUUGGGGCCUCUCUCUCCAAGCAAAGAUGGCAGGGAUUGGGAGGUGAGGAUGGGCCUCUUGGAAAAAGUGCAGAUUUUAAAAAAUAUAUACCAUUCUAUAUGUUAGAACUUUUCAUACAUGCAGUUAUAACUCUAUAUGCUGGUUUGUAAAUUUUUCACAAUAUAACAUGAAAACUU
rnacentral:lncRNA from 1 species